rnacentral:lncRNA from 1 species
GAAUAGUGCGUAUCUUACAGAAAUGAAUUCAGACUGUCUAUAGAAUGUCUAUAGACUUCUUGUAGACGACUUUGCCUUUCUAUAGAUUUCUUCUUUUGUGGAUACAAAAUCUAUGAACUGUCUAUAGACAAAAGGUAAUAAGAUUGUUAUUUCUUUUUGUCUACUCCAAUUCUAUAGUCGGUCUGUAGAAAAAAGCCGAUACGAUGUUUGCUUCUUUUUGUCUACUUCCGCUCUAUAGACUACCUAUAGAAAAAUGUCGACACAGU